AUUGAACGCUGGCGGCAGGCCUAACACAUGCAAGUCGAGCGAGCGGCGGACGGGUGAGUAAUGCCUGGGAAUUGCCCAGUCGAGGGGGAUAACAGUUGGAAACGACUGCUAAUACCGCAUACGAAGAGAUUGCACAGGGGGGAGUAGCUAAUGGGUGAGGUAAUGGCUCACCAAGGCGACGAUCCCUAGCUGGUCUGAGAGGAUUAUCAGCCACACUGGAACGGAGACACGGUCCAGACUCCGACGGGAGGCAGUAGUGGGGAAUAUUGCACAAUGGGGGAAACCCUGAUGCAGCCAUGCCGCGUGUGUGAAGAAGGCCUUCGGGUUGUAAAGUACUUUCAGCGAGGAGGCGUUACUCGCGGAAGAAGCACCGGCUAACUCCGUGCCAGCAGCCGCGGUAAUAC
rnacentral:rRNA from 1 species